UGAAAGAAUCUGUUAAGCUCAGGAGGGAUAGCGCCAUGGAUGCUCUUCUCUUUUGCUCCAUUUAUUUGGUUUGCAUUUUCAUUUGAUCUUCUAUUGCGCUAUCCAUCCUGAGUUUCAUGGGUUUUUCAC